rnacentral:rRNA from 1 species
GACAGAGGGUGCAAACGUUGUUCGGAAUUAUUGGGCGUAAAGGGAGUGUAGGCGGCUAGGAAAGUCUUCUGUGAAAUCUACGGGCUCAGCCUGUAACGUGCAGAGGAAACUAUCUGGCUAGAGUGUCGGAGAGGAUAGGGGAAUACCCAGUGUAGAGGUGAAAUUCGUAGAGAUUGGGUGGAACACCAGUGGCGAAGGCGCCUGUCUGGCUGACAACUGACGCUGAGACUCGAAAGCAUGGGGAGCAAACAGG